GACGAACGCUGGCGGCGUGCUUAACACAUGCAAGUCGAACGGUAAGGCCCUUCGGGGUACACGAGUGGCGAACGGGUGAGUAACACGUGGGUGAUCUGCCCUGCACUUCGGGAUAAGCCUGGGAAACUGGGUCUAAUACCGGAUAGGACCACUGCCUGCAUGGGUGGUGGGGGAAAGCUUUUGCGGUGUGGGAUGGGCCCGCGGGCUAUCAGCUUGUUGGUGGGGUGAUGGCCUACCAAGGCGACGACGGGUAGCCGGCCUGAGGGGGUGACCGGCCACACUUGGACUGGGAUACGGCCCAGACUCCUACGGGAGGCAGCAGUCGGAAGAUUGCACAAUAGGCGCAAGCCUGAUGCAGCGACGCCGCGUGAGGGAUGACGGCCUUCGGGUUGUAAACCUCUUUCAGCACCGACGAAGCGCAAGUGACGGUAGGUGCAGAAGAAGGACCGGCCAACUACGUGCCAGCCGCCGCGGUAA
rnacentral:rRNA from 1 species